CUGACUGCUUGUAUCUCUAUGUCUCUGGGAAUUUUUCACGGCAUAGGUCCAUAGUGCUCAGUUCAUGGAGUUUGCAGAGGUGGAAAACCAUGAUGACUUUUAUACCAGUGAAGGUGGAUAUAUUCACACACAGGACCCAUGAGGGUUUUAUAUAAUAUAUGAUGUGGCUUUAAAGGACCUGAAGGAGCUUGAGCACCAGCUGCUCCUUGUGACCAGCCAAUAUAUUGAGAAAGAUAAAAGCCAUAUAACUUGUGGUCAGUUCAAAGGCAGCAACCUCCUUGGCUGGGCACAUUCCUCUGUGGAUCAAUUUGCAGUGCUGCUUGACCUCUGGACCUGUGAAACUGCUCUCUUGGAGAAAAAAUCUCAGAUAGAUGUCCAGAGGGAAUAUGUCCACAAGGUUUGGCGGGAAGGUCAGAGAGGUGGGAUCAGUGAAUUUGGAAUUCCUUAUAAUGUGAUUGCUAAACAACUUAUCUCUCUUAAUAAUAGCUGUUAUUUGCAGAGGUACUGAUAGAAGACCCUGUGCUGGUGCAAGAGGUUGCUUUGUCACUAUGAGAGCUGGGAGCAGAGGAAGAAAAAAAGGAAAGCAGACAAAACCGGUUCUUUUUCCUGGAUUCUUUUUCCAUGAUCCUGGAGCUUGUAACACUUUGCCAUCGGUUGAUGGAGGUGGCAAUGGAGAGUGUGCAGUUAGCCAGGUUAGUGGAUUGGUAGUGCUGUUUUAGCUAUGGUGGCCUAAGAGAGGGGUGGUUUGUAGGAAAAAAGUGACUUCUUUUAAAUAGACCCUCUAAUAUAAUUGGAAAAAAACAGAUAAGAGAGCAUGCAUUUAUGUUGUGAGAGAUACAUUUGCUUGUUUUAUGGAAAUAGAGUCUACCCAGGAUUUGCAGAUGUUCGUUAUUUUCAAAAGUUGAGAAACAAAUCAAUUGCCAAACUGCUCUGCAAAGCUUAUCAGGACUGGCCCUUUGCCCAGUGAAAAUGGGACUCUCCUGAUCCUGCUCGAGUUUAGUCAAGAGGAGGAGGAGCAGGAGGAGCAGGAGGAAUUCACUGAUAAAAUGGACAUGAAGAUUUCUUCUUCCCAGAGUUUUACACAGACAAUUGUUUUAACUGCCUUCUUAUAAAUAAUAUUGCAAUAUAAAAAAAAAGGCACACAAGAAAUACAAUCCAUUGCCUUGUUCGCUACCACAGAUAGGAAAGUAUAAAAAUUGUUCUGACUGUGAUGAUCCUUGCAAAGAUAGUGAAAUAAUCUAGAUAAGGGAAGUCACUGCGGCGUUGCUUAGGAAAUUGUCACAUCAGGUGGGGAAGAGGACAAUUUGUACAGGAAGCCAAAGAAGAUGAAGGCUGGACUAAUGGGGAGCCUACAAAGGAUAGUGCUGACCUAGUGGCUUGGAGGCAGGUUACUGGUGAAGUUCCUCUUGUUCAGUUUCAUAUUAUUUGACAUUUUUAUUAAUGAGCUCAGUAGAAAGCAUGAGGGUGUUAUUAAAAUCAGGACAUUGUUGUGCUGGAAGAUAAAGCUGAUAUGGAAAAGAAACAGAAUAUUUUACAGGAAGAAUUCAUGGUUCUAAGCACUGGGAUAAUAGAAAUGAGAUAAGCUUCAGUAGCACAAAGCUCAAGGUUAUGCAAUAAAAAUAGGAAAUACUGCUGUGAACUUUGUGCU
rnacentral:lncRNA from 1 species